GACGAACGCUGGCGGCGUGCUUAACACAUGCAAGUCGAACGAUGAAAGUGGAGCUUGCUCCGCUGGAUUAGUGGCGAACGGGUGAGUAACACGUGGGCAACCUGCCCCAGACUCUGGGAUAACUCCUCGAAAGAGGUGCUAAUACCGGAUACGAACUCCUUGGGCAUCCUUGGAGUUGGAAAGUUUUUCGGUCUGGGAUGGGCCCGCGGCCUAUCAGCUUGUUGGUGGGGUAGUGGCCCACCAAGGCGACGACGGGUAGCCGGCCUGAGAGGGCGACCGGCCACACUGGGACUGGGACCCGGCCCGGACGCCUACGGGAGGCAGCAGUGGGGAAUAUUGCGCAAUGGGCGAAAGCCUGACGCAGCGACGCCGCGGGAGGGAUGACGGCCUUCGGGUUGUAAACCUCUUUCAGCAGGGAAGAAGCGAAAGUGACGGUACCUGCAGAAGAAGCACCGGCUAACUACGUGCCAGCAGCCGCCGUAA
rnacentral:rRNA from 1 species